ACACACACUUUCACAACUACAGAUCCCAGAAGCCUAUGCGGGCAGAGACCUGCGCAGCAACGCGGGCCCUGCCCGGUUUUCCCGCGGAUUUUAUGUAAUCCCGGAUCUAGGCGCGGGAACUCUGGGAAGGACUCUCCGUCUUCUGACCGCAGCCUGCGGGAGCUGGGUCCAGCGCGGCUCCUUUCGGCCAGUCCGGAGGGGCGUGAAGUCAGGCUCUGCGGAGGGUGGCGCAGUGUCUGCCUCGGCGUAACAUUCUCCCGCCGGCCGGCGCCAUCUUUGCUGGUUGGGGGUAAGAGGGGGGUCCUGUUCCCGAGAGGCAGCAGCGCCCCGUCCCUCAUUCAAGAUGGCGACGGCGGGGUGAUUGACAUGCUUAGUCACGUGAGCACUAGCGGGAUGGGUCGGGUGCACCAUGGCCCUGGCUGAGGUAGUAGUUUGUGCUGUUGGUCGGGUUGUGACAUUGCCCGCUGUGGAGAUAACUGCGCAAGCUACUGCCUUGCUAGUGCUGGUGAUGAUCGGCUACAGAUGAAGACAAUGACAGUGGGAAUCCCCUUUGUUUUCCCGGGAUUGCAUGCUGAUGGGGUGGCAAACAAUUCUUCCCCCUCCUCCUCCUGCAGAAAUUGAGCCUUUCCUUGGCUACUGAAAUGUGAGUGAUUCAUUUUUACACCAGUGAGAUAUUGCUCUGUUGGUGCAGCUGGAUGGAAGACCAUUAGUUUGGGGCUUUUUUUACACUAUCUUAUGGAAUUUUGGCUGAAGAGCCAGUAUAGUAUCUGCUUCUUUUAAUGCUUAAGGUUGUUUUUGCCAGCCACCUUUUGAAGGGGAUGGAUCUGAUGUUUUCUGAAGACAUACAGGUUAAUGACUGACUAGAAUUGUUUCUGUGUAUUUUGAAUAUAUGUUGCUUGAAAUGUUGUAUUUGUAUUUAAAAUCACAAGUAUAUAGUUAUACUGACAAACUAUGGAUAUUGUCUGGGACAAGCCAAUAUGUGUGAAGAGCAUUUCAUUGCUUAUUGGGAAGACAGUAUUUGUACAAUACAAACUAAUUAAUUUUAUUUUGCUUAACAUUUACAGAUUUCUUGUUCUGAAUCUUUAAAAUGUCUGGUGUACAUUUUGAUUAUUUCACAGUAAAGCAAAUGAACCUAAGAAGUAUGGAUGGUGUAAAUUCAUAUUGCUGGCAUUUUUUAUUAGAGUGAUGAUUGAGAGAUACUUUUUAUGAAUUUUAAUAUGUUGACCACACUUAAUGGUGUGAAUCUAAAAUGUAUUAAUAUGCUUACAAUAAAUGUAUGUUACUUUGUCUUGUAUUGAGAAUU
rnacentral:lncRNA from 1 species